GACGAACGCUGGCGGCGUGCUUAACACAUGCAAGUCGAACGGAAAGGCCCUGCUUUUGUGGGGUGCUCGAGUGGCGAACGGGUGAGUAACACGUGAGUAACCUGCCCUUGACUUUGGGAUAACUUCAGGAAACUGGGGCUAAUAACGGAUAGGAUCUCCUGCUGCAUGGUGGGGGUUGGAAAGUUUCGGCGGUUGGGGAUGGACUCGCGGCUUAUCAGCUUGUUGGUGGGGUAGUGGCUUACCAAGGCUUUGACGGGUAGCCGGCCUGAGAGGGUGACCGGGCACAUUGGGACUGAGAUACGCCCCAGACUCGUACGGGAGGCAGCAGUGGGAAAUAUUGCGCAAUGGGCGGAAGCCUGAUGCGGCAGCGCCGCGUGCGGGAUGACGGCCUACGGGUUGUAAACCGCUUUCGCCUGUGACGAGGCGUGAGUGACGGUAAUGAGUAAAGAAGCACCGGCUAACUACGUG
rnacentral:rRNA from 1 species